rnacentral:rRNA from 1 species
AGCUCCAAUAGCGUAUGUUAAAAUUGCUGCAGUUAAAAAGCUCGUAGUUGGAUUUCUGGCGUGGUGCACCGAGCCCGCUACCUUAUUGGUGGUGAGUGCUUGUUUGUGUGCCUGCCAUACUUCGGGGAGGCCGUGUUUAGGUUGGAGGCAACUCUUUCCUGCACGCUCUUCCGAUCGUUUACUUUGAAAAAAUUAGAGUGUUUAAAGCAGGCUGACGCUAUGAAUACAUUAGCAUGGAAUAAUAAGAUAGGACUUCGGUUCUAUUUUGUUGGUUUCUAGGACUGAAGUAAUGAUUGAUAGGGACAGUUGGGGGUGCUAGUAUUUAACGGCCAGAGGUGAAAUUCUUGGAUUCGUUAAAGACUAACUUAUGCGAAAGCAUUCACCAAGGAUGUCUUCU